rnacentral:rRNA from 1 species
GGAAGGUUUCCGUAGGUGAACCUGCGGAAGGAUCAUUAGCGAAUAAACCCUGGAGGAUGUUGCUGGCCCCUUGUCUUGGGGGGCAGGUGCACUCCUCAGAUAUUCUCUUGUCCUCACCUUUUACAAACCCUGUGCACCCUCUGUAGGUUUGGCAUGCGUUCCGACCUAUGUUUUGUUUUGUCAUUUGCACCAUGAAAUGUCGUUCGAAUGUCGUGAUUCUUUGAAUAAAAUACACAACUUUCAACAAUGGAUCUCUUGGCUCUCGCAUCGAUGAAGAACGCAGCGAAAUGCGAUACGUAAUGUGAAUUGCAGAAUUCCGUGAAUCAUCGAAUCUUUGAACGCACCUUGCGCCCCUUGGUAUUCCGAGGGGCAUGCCUGUUUGAGUGUUAUUGUACUCCCUCAACUUUGACCUUCGUUUUCUUCCGAGGUGUCAAGGCUUGGAUGGUGGAGGCGUGCUGGCUGCCCUGGCGGUUAGCUCCUCUGAAAAGAAUUAGCAAAGGGAAACGUACCAAUUCCUGCACCUCAUGCUUCUGGCAUUGUUAGUUGUGUCUAUGCCUGUCAUUGCUGAGAUGCUUUUGGAUCGUUGAGCAUCCUUGCUUCCAGUCAUCCAGGGGGGGGGGUCGCCCUUGGACUUUGUCAAAAUCACCUCAAAUCAGGUAGGAAUACCCGCUGAACUUAAGCAUAUCAAUAA